rnacentral:misc_RNA from 1 species
GGAAAUUUGAUUUUGCCAGGGAAAAAUGUCAUACAGUUAUAUAAAGAUGUUCCGUAAUAUUGUUUGUCUUUUAAUCUUUUACGAUUAUGGUAAACUAGUCAUAUGCAAUUGCACUUUGCACAGAAAAUUAAAGAUAAAAUUAUAUAAUAGUUUUAGUGACCAGCUCAAUUAGUUCUCUUCUACUGUGAAUUCUUUUGUAGUAACUGGAAAUUCUACAGAAAAGACAUUGUCAAAUUGGCUAAUUUAUUUU